rnacentral:rRNA from 3 species
GAUUCGUCACACUAUCAUUAACUGAAUCCAUAGGUUAAUGAGGCGAACCGGGGGAACUGAAACAUCUAAGUACCCCGAGGAAAAGAAAUCAACCGAGAUUCCCCCAGUAGCGGCGAGCGAACGGGGAGGAGCCCAGAGCCUGAAUCAGCAUGUGUGUUAGUGGAAGCGUCUGGAAAGGCGCGCGAUACAGGGUGACAGCCCCGUACACAAAAGCGCAUGUGCUGUGAGCUCGAUGAGUAGGGCGGGACACGUGGUAUCCUGUCUGAAUAUGGGGGGACCAUCCUCCAAGGCUAAAUACUCCUGACUGACCGAUAGUGAACCAGUACCGUGAGGGAAAGGCGAAAAGAACCCCGGCGAGGGGAGUGAAAAAGAACCUGAAACCGUGUACGUACAAGCAGUGGGAGCACCCUUUGGGGUGUGACUGCGUACCUUUUGUAUAAUGGGUCAGCGACUUAUAUUCUGUAGCAAG